GGGUUGUGAGGUUAAGCGACUAAGCGUACACGGUGGAUGCCCUGGCAGUCAGAGGCGAUGAAGGACGUGCUAAUCUGCGAUAAGCGUCGGUAAGGUGAUAUGAACCGUUAUAACCGGCGAUUUCCGAAUGGGGAAACCCAGUGUGAUUCGUCACACUAUCAUUAACUGAAUCCAUAGGUUAAUGAGGCGAACCGGGGGAACUGAAACAUCUAAGUACCCCGAGGAAAAGAAAUCAACCGAGAUUCCCCCAGUAGCGGCGAGCGAACGGGGAGGAGCCCAGAGCCUGAAUCAGUGUGUGUGUUAGUGGAAGCGUCUGGAAAGGCGCGCGAUACAGGGUGACAGCCCCGUACACAAAAAUGCACAUGCUGUGAGCUCGAUGAGUAGGGCGGGACACGUGGUAUCCUGUCUGAAUAUGGGGGGACCAUCCUCCAAGGCUAAAUACUCCUGACUGACCGAUAGUGAACCAGUACCGUGAGGGAAAGGCGAAAAGAACCCCGGCGAGGGGAGUGAAAAAGAACCUGAAACCGUGUACGUACAAGCAGUGGGAGCAC
rnacentral:rRNA from 1 species